rnacentral:lncRNA from 1 species
GUAGACAAAAGUCCGCACAAUCUCACCUAAGGGAUCGUCGAAAUAAUGAUUGGAUCAACGGGAAACAUGUGAACAAUUCAGACAUUCGUGCUAUGAUGCACGGCCGUGAGGAAUCCGAACAACACUUAGUGUUUUGGAGUUGGCCGGAUAUUUCACCGUCGGAUCGAGACGAAAUUUCACACCAUAAUAGUAGACACAAUUUCACACAAUCUCACCGAUAGGAUUCUCGAAAUAAUACUUUAGGCUGCAGAUAAUUUGCGAGAGAGGAAGUAGGCAGGAGAAAGAAAAAAAUUAGGCAAAAGGAGAGCGAAAGGAAAUAUAAGAAAAAACAUAAAAAGACCAUUCUACUCUUCUGAGUUUGGGAGGAGGUUGUAUUGAAUUAGGCCUCAUAAAUUAUCCUAGUUUGUAGUUCUAACGGAGAUUACUACACUUGCACAGAGGCUACUUUGUUGAGUCGCUGAUGUCAACAAUCAAUGGUUCAAACUGGAGACGUACGUACACCUCUGAGCUCCAAAGUGGUAGAGUGCUUUAAAAGAACACGAGCUACAGAACAGAGCCCACAUAUCCGUGAUAUUUAUAUUAGUAGCUACCUGGCGUUACACAGAGAGGUUCAUCUCUUCGUCUACGUAACAUAAUCAAGUAGCUGCUGCGAAGCUCUAGGUGUGUUGUUUUUUUCGAAAAGGGAAAAAUUUUUCGGCCUCUGCAUCAAUUGAUUCACACAGUCAUAUUUUAUUACAAAGUUAUAAGAGUCUUACAAAUCACUGAUU